rnacentral:lncRNA from 1 species
GUAAGAGUAUGAGUAUGAUUCUUGCAAGUCUUGGGAUAAUUGAUAUUAUAAAGAAGUCUAAAUCAUGUUGACAAGAGUUAAUCCAAUCAUAUUGGUAUAUUGAGGACUCUUGUGUUUGCUCGUUUAUAGGACUCAUAUUGAUAUAAGGAAUGCAGUCUUGUAUUUCUUGUGGGAUUGUUAUAGGGGCAAUCCAGGUCUUGUAGGUCUUGUAGUAUAAAACCACAAGCCCCUGCUCUCACAAAAUACGCUCUUAUUGUUCCAAUUACCUAUAACUUGGAGAGCAUUGAGUUUUGCAAAGAGGAGAAGGUUGUGUGUAGAUUUCUCUAAUGGCUCUUAAUCCUAAUUUGUUGAACAUAGUUAUGAUAUGGUGUCUAGCACUUUCUUUCCUGUGAUCAAUGUCAUGAAGAACAUGUGUGUUGCUGUGGGAGAUAUUCAUCAGCCAAGCAUGUCGGGUUCUAUAAGAUGAGGCAGGAAACUCAAUAGCCUUAGGUUGGUAUAGACACAAAUCCAAUCUUCACCAUGUGUGGGAUAGGGAGAUCAUACAACAAACUAUGAAGGACUAUUGUGAUAGAACACACGGGAAAGACUUCGGCAAAUAGUUUGCAGGUAUGUGUUGCAGAUAUUACUUCAGUAUUUGCAUAUACAUAAUAUAUUUGGAGUUAUGAUUGUGAUUUAGUUGGUUAAAUCUUACGUUCUUGGCUAGUUUAUUAUAGAGCUUAUAUGGUUGCUCUAACAUGUGGUAUCAGAGCCAUAAGGAUUCAACCAUUAAAUUCAACUCAUGAUUAAGAAAUAUUGCAUAAAACCUCACUGCCUGGGUUUUCGAACUGAGCUUUAGGGCUCUUAGAAAUACAUAAAUUAAAAAACUAUGUAUUUUGUUUAUAAUAAAGUCGUUGGAAAAGGAAUCGUGAAACGGUGUCGUUUUAGGUAAUAUUUUAAUAACUAAAAUUUUUGUUGGCUGGGAGAUUUGGAUCUUUACCUUUGAUGGUGUUCUUCGGAAAAAGGGCUCUCCCUUGCUCAUCUAAAUCUAAAAUUAAGUCAAGAUUGAUGCUGAGAUUGAUACGGUCCUGAAACCAUUCAUAAAAGGGUAUGUAUUUUGAAAUCUUAUUGCAAUUUCCUGAAUUUUGUUUGACAUUUAGACUGAGUUAAAUGAAAUUGGUGUCAAGAUUAGUUCCUUGUUCUAAAACUUGUGUUUCUCUCAAUCUAGGGUUGACAUAACUUUUUCAUGCUUGCUUAUUUGAUGAUAAGUAUAGUAAUUUAGCAGUAUACAUCUCUCUUAAACAUCAUAAUUCUGAUUUUCGAAAUUAUUGCUUCCGCUGUGUCGAUUAUAUGAUGUCUGCAAAUUGAGAUAAUUUUGGUUUAUUAUUCCUCCUUGUAUUAUUAGUGUAAUGAAUAAACUUGUAUUCUGAUAUGCUAAUUGUGUUAUUAAGAACCAUUGAACAAAGAUCAUGUUAUUUGCAUUUUGAGAUUAUACUAUUAUUCUGGUUCUUCAUGUUGACGUUAACUCGUUCGUCAUUCUAUUGUUGCAAUGGUACGAGGUACAUGGGAAUUGGGAAUGAUGGCAAUCCGUAUGGAUGAGUCUCGAGCAUUGAUGGAUAAUUUGUUUCAUUGAUUUGGAGCCGAGGAAUUGCAAUUGGGUUGUCGAAUACGAGUCCAAUGAUGCAUUCAGGUAACUCAGUUCAUUGUUUCAUGCAUAAUUAAUUGUUCUCCUAUAUGUGUGAUUAUAGUGCGAUGAGUUGGAGCAUAAUGAAUUAGGGCUUUUGCUAUUCCGAGUAUGCUUGUUUAUUUUGUGAAGGCACAAUUAAACUCGAAAUCCCUAUAGAUGUCAACUUAUGAUUUAUAUGAGAUGACUGGAAUCAUUCUUUCUGACUAAAGAUUCAUUAGACUAAUAUUUGGUGUACACAUUGCUCUUCUAUUUUUGAGUUAGAGCCUGUGUAAUUAGAUUAGGUGGAAAAUAUUGUUUUGUUGCUAUUUUGUUGUCUCAAGCAGAUGUAAGAUUUCUCAUUAACUUGCUUGAAACUUGGAAGCUUGCAUCAUGAUUUUCCAUUAUGAAUUAUGAUAAUAGAAUUUGACUUAUUGUUGCUACCAAAUACAUGUGGCUUUUAUGUGGGUCUGAUUGGUUUGAAUUAUUCUAGAAAAGCAAAAUUAGAUUAUACGAGUAUCCAUAAUGAUGUUUUUAAAAUUAUGAGUGUAAUUCAUAUCCCAAUUUUGGUUAGACUAUAUAUAAUAGGUUUUGGGGGUGUUGCCAUAUAUGUGAAUGAUGUAGUUAGGAAUUUUUUGGUUCGUUAAUGCCAAUAUGUGCACUGUAUAACCAAAAAAAAAAAAAAAACAUGUGAAGGCUCUUGUGUUAGUACCUGUAUGAAAUGAUAUAAAUUGUUUAGUGAAACCUUGUUGGCAAGAAUGUAUUCUGAAACUCAUCUCACUUGAUAUAUUGUAAGUGUAAGAGAUUUGAUAUUAUGUAUUAAAUCUAUAAGUACACUAAAUUUUAUUGGAUGAUCAUCUUGAUUAUCUUGUUUUAUUCAAGAUGACUUGUGCCUUUAUAUCCAGACAUUAUCAAAUUUUAGUUGAUCUUGCUUGAUGGGUAUUGAACUAGUUAGGAUCAAAUUGAAUGCAAGAAUAUUGUGCUUGCUAUUCUAAUUUGAUUAUUGUUGAAACUGGUGAUUUUGGGUUUAUGUGAGAUAAGUUUUUCCGAAUGGAUUGUGACUAUCUUUUGAUACAUAGACUGUUUGCAUAAUGGUUUAGGUGUAUUUGACUAAACUGAGAUUAUGCAAUUGGUAAGGAAUCGAGAAUCAAUUGGUUCAUAUCUCCGGUUUCUUUAUUGGCUUUGCAGUACAUUCUGCUUAUGCUUAAGUGGGAGAAUCAUAUGUUCGAAUGUAAGCAUAAGGUUAUUUAGGCCGGCCAUUAUAAUUCAUUUGGAUGCUUGAAAACCAGAUUAUGGUUUUAUUGAAGCAAUUGGUAAUUAUUUAUGUUACUUAAUUUGUUUAAGUAAUGAGAAGUUUAGUGCUAUUUGUUGGAACUAAACUUAACUUGAUAUAGUGGGAGCAAAUCAAUUUAUGUGUUUGUUCUGGUCAAGUAAAAUCACAUUUUUGUAAAUACAAAUUGGAUGAAUGUGAUCAUGGAAUUUGUUUGCAUAUUGGUUGCGGCAAUUGAUCACAUUGAUAAGACAUUCAGUGUAUUGCAAUGACUGUUAGUUAAUACAGUUGAUAUUAACUUAUACUUAACUUGUUUGUGUUAAGUAUGGCCUAGAUAAGUGGGAGCAAAUUUGGUUUGGUUUUGCUAUAUUGGUUCACAUAAUUACAAAGUGCAAAUUAAGUAUGUUGUGACUUUUGAGUUAAUUCUGCAAUGUAACAUAAAAGAUUCUUAAGUUCAAUACUUUAAAAUGCAUAGGUAAGUUGUAUGUGAGGUUAAGCUUUUGUUAUCCAAAAGAUUUGGUGAUAUGAUAAAGCUAUUGAUUGAUAUAACUGUGCUAUUCAUACAAUUAUGAAUAAUUUUAAAUUGAUAGCCUACUGUCAAGAAUGUUUGGUAUUUUAUAUCAAUUUUGGGCUAUAUGAGUGGGAGUAGACAUCUUGGUUUACUCUUGAGCUUAGAUACAUUGCUAUGAACAUGAACUGGACAUUUUGAUUUGUAAGUUAAAUCUGUAUUUUGUGUUGCAGAGGCAAUUAUAAAUUCAUUGUUUUGGCUUAUGUAAGCUGGUUGUGUCUAUAUACUAGUGUGUUGAUGAAUGACUUAUGCGAUCACCUUUAUAAUAAUUUGAGAUGAUUAUCUGUUGUGAUGAAUCAUACUCAAGUGGGAGAAUGUAAGAGUAUGAGUAUGAUUCUUGCAAGUCUUGGGAUAAUUGAUAUUAUAAAGAAGUCUAAAUCAUGUUGACAAGAGUUAAUCCAAUCAUAUUGGUAUAUUGAGGACUCUUGUGUUUGCUCGUUUAUAGGACUCAUAUUGAUAUAAGGAAUGCAGUCUUGUAUUUCUUGUGGGAUUGUUAUAGGGCAAUCCAGGUUUUGUAGGUCUUGUAGUAUAAAACCACAAGCCCCUGCUCUCACAAAAUACGCUCUUAUUGUUCCAAUUACCUAUAACUUGGAGAGCAUUGAGUUUUGCAGAGAGGAGAAGGUUGUGUGUAGAUUUCUCUAAUGGCUCUUAAUCCUAAUUUGUUGAACAUAGUUAUGAUAUGGUGUCUAGCACUUUCUUUCCUGUGAUCAAUGUCGUGAAGAACAUGUGUGUUGCUGUGGGAGAUAUUCAUCAGCCAAGCAUGUCGGGUUCUAUAAGAUGAGGCAGGAAACUCAAUAGCCUUGGGUUGGUAUAGACACAAAUCCAAUCUUCACCAUGUGUGGGAUAGGGAGAUCAUACAACAAACUAUGAAGGACUAUUGUGAUAGAACACACGGGAAAGACUUCGGCAAAUAGUUUGCAGGUAUGUGUUGCAGAUAUUACUUCAGUAUUUGCAUAUACAUAAUAUAUUUGGAGUUAUGAUUGUGAUUUAGUUGGUUAAAUCUUACGUUCUUGGCUAGUUUAUU